AUUGGUUCCUGGUUCCUAAGCCAUUAAAGAAUAAAAACAUUUCCGAUGCAGAACAAAAUCGAUAUUGGCGAUUAAGUUUUGAUGAAUUUGAAAAAGUUAUUCUCACUGAACACGGACGAGCUAAACUCAUAAUACGCCACUUAAAAAAAUUUAGAGAUACGCAGGAUUUGAAGAGUAUUGCCAGCUAUUACAUUGAAACAUUGGCUGCGUUCAGAAAACAUAGCUGAUCAGUGAGCGGUCAGUGAUUAUUGGUUCUUACUGUUAGAUCCCUAACUUUAGACCAAUUGCGUUGACUAAUUACUCAACCGUUGUGCAACAGUUGUGUCUUCUGAACGCACCCAUUAUGUUUCUACCAUCUAGAUAUCUUUAAACAGCAAAAAGGAAACCAAGGAAAGUCAUCGACUUUUUUAUUUUUCACGAUGUUACAACAACUCUGAAGCUUUCCAUAAUCGUUGUAUAAAAUAUUAUUGGGACGAAAACCUGAAUUUAUUGGAAAAAAUCAAAUAUGAUGAAAUGAAAAACAUAGAAAACAGAUUAUUGAAUAUUAUAAAAAAUAUUGAGAAGCAGAUAGUAGAAAAUCCGAAGGAUCAAUUUGCUAUAGCUAAAUUUGUUUUGAAUUCAGAAGAAAACAAACAUCUGAAGAAUAUACUAAAAUCACAAUAUGAAAUAUAGCUAGAAAGUGAAAGCCAGAGGGGAUGCAUUAUUGUCUGACCAUGUAAGGAAGUAAUCGUUAAUCUGAAUAACGCAACGCAGCAUUGCAGAACAAUCUGCCUCGGCGGAAUGUGCAUCUUCAAAAUUUGAGCCGAACAUGUGUUCAUAAAUACUGGCGAGUUUGAAAUUGACGGGGCUCUUUGUUUCGCAUCCAAAUUCUAAUUUUCGUCUAUAAUUAUUCUGCUUAAAAGGUCGAUUCACGGUAUCCUGUUGCUUCAUUAUCUGACUCGUCGGUGUUUUUUGAUUGUUUUGACUUUUGUAGUUUUGCAAACUACUGUCAACAGCGUUCUCAUUUACAUUAUAUUUACUGUCGGGAACUUUAGUAUUUUUGUCUUCGCAUGAGAAUUUUUGCAAAGAUGUCGUGGCUAUAUUUUGGCCUACAGUCUUUUUGCUCAUCAUCAUCACUGAGUCUAAUACUGCAGACAAGGACUCAUUGUAUUCAUCAUCCAGCAAAUUGUCAAUUUCUUUUGCAUGUAGAGCAUUGACAGUAGAGCUGUAUGACAUAGUAUCGCUUGGUACUCCUUUAAAGAAAUCUUUGAACAUUUUACAUGUGUCAAUGCACAAAAUUCUAUUAUCAAUAACCUUUAACAAAAGAAAGCUAGAUAUUAUUUAAUAAAGAGGAGGAAUAAUAAAGUGUAAAAUAUAACUAUUACAAAUUAAUUACCUCGUUAAUGCAUUUUAAUUCUGACAAAAGUAUUGGAUAAUCAAAUGCAUCACCAUUAUGUGCUACAAAACAAAUGGGUGGUGUAAGACGACGCAAAAAGUACAUUAUUAAUUCAUAAACUCCAGAUUCAAAAGGCUGUAGUAACAUCAUAUCUUCAUUAUAUAAUUCUGUACAAAAAAAAUAGAUAUAUAGUAAACUAUUCUUUUUUUAUUAUUCCAUAUGAGCAUACAUACACAUAAGCAUUAAGUACAUUUACAUAUAAAAAAAAAAUAUAUAUAUAUGUAAGCA